rnacentral:rRNA from 1 species
AGCGUGCGUAGGAGGCCAGGAAAGUCGGGUGUGAAAUCCCACCGCUCAACGGUGGAACUGCAUUCGAUACUGCCUGGCUUGAGGAUCGGAGGGGAGAGCGGAAUUCUUGGUGUAGCGGUGAAAUGCGUAGAUAUCAAGAGGAACACCGGUGGCGAAGGCGGCUCUCUGGAAGAUUCCUGACUCUGAGGCACGAAGGCCAGGGAGCAAACGGGAUUAGAUACCCCGGUAGUCCUGGCAGUAAACGGUGCUCACUAGGUGUUGGCGGUUCGACCCCGUCGGUGCCGAACCUAACGGAUUAAGUGAGCCGCCUGGGGAGUACGGUCGCAAGAUUAAAACUCAAAGAAAUUGACGGGGGCCCGCACAAGCGGUGGAGUAUGUGGCUUAAUUCGAUGCAACGCGAAGAACCUUACCUGGUCUUGACAUGCAUUGUUCAUCCGGUGAAAGCCGGUGUCCCGCAAGGGAGAAUUGCACAGGUGCUGCAUGGCUGUCGUCAGCUCGUGUCGUGAGAUGUUGGGUUAAGUCCCGCAACGAGCGCAACCCUUAUGUCUAGUUAUACGCCCGCAGGGCUCUCUAGUCGGACUGCCCUGUUCAACGGGGAGGAAGGUGGGGAUGACGUCAAGUCAGGAUGGCCUUACGACCAGGGCUGCACACGUACUACAAUGCCCACUACAGAGGGACGCCAAGUCGCGAGACGGAGCCAAUCCCAGAAAAGUGGGCCCAGUUCGGAUUGGAGGCUGCAACUCGCCUCCAUGAAGUUGGAUCGCUAGUAAUGGCGCAUC